ensembl:lncRNA
CACAGAAAGGCUGAAUUUAUUCAUUUUUAUUGUAGAUAAAUGACAUUGCUGCUCCCAGAAACAAGCAGAGAUCCAGUAACAUACUAACAACAUUUGACAAUAAUAAACCGUUAUCCAACAACUCCAGGAUGAUGAUUUAACAUGCUGCGGGACAGAAAAUAAAAAUCUUUACAAAAAUAUGUUACACAAAGAAUACAAUACUACCUUACAUUGAUAAAAGCAUUUUAAAUAUAUUAUUUUUAGUAAUCAAGUCAAUAAUUUGAAUGCACUUUUCAAUGUAAAUGAACAAUGCCUUUAGGACUGUUCACUAUCUUACAUUAACAAAAUGUUUGUCAAACCAACAGACUACAUUUCCCAUAACCCUCUCUGUCCUCACAUACAUUAGAAAUGUCUUCUUACCGAGUCAGAUAAAUGAAACGGGAAUAAGUUAUACAUUUACAGUUUUUUUACACAAAAAUUGGCAUAUAUUUUUCCUCGAUAAAGAGUAGAAAUAUGUCUUUGAGGUGAUGUUUUUAUUGAUAAGUGAGUAAAACAUGCCAGAAGUCUAUUCUACAGCUGGUCUUCUAGACUGAGUGAACAGUGAUCAGAUCAGAGCUUCUGUGGGUAAACCUCUCUACUGGUCAGGAAGGAUACAGAGAACUCUUCUCUGUCGGACACAAUCUAGUUGAGCUCAACGUUGGACAUCAUGUCUGUAUGCCAAACGGCUCCCUAUAUAGACCACUACUAUGGGCCCUAAUCCAAAGUACGGUACUAAAUAGGGAAUAGGGAGCAGUUUGGGACACAGGCCAUUAUGUUGCUGUAAGAACACCCAGCUAAGCUGAUCCAUUAUUGACUUGGACUAAAGAACAUGGGUAACGCUCUUUCGUUUUUUACCCCCCCCCCCCGAAUCCCACAUUUAAUUUCAAAUGCAUGUUGAUGAGAGCAUUCAGGCGACUGGUUGCUGCCAUCCAUUUGGGAUUAAGAAGGGUGAAUUACUCUAAGGGAUCAACGGCCUAAAACCAACAACACCGAACAUCAACAUGUUGACGGUGACCUGUCAGAGACGGCAUCCCAAAUGGAACACUAUAUAGUGCAUAGGUCCUGGUCAACAGUAGUGUACUAUAUAGGGAAUAGGGUGCAUGGGCCCUGUUCAACAGUAGUGCACUAUAUAGAGAAUAGGGUGCAUGGGCCCUGGUAAAAAGUAGUGUACUAUAUAGGGAAUAGGGUGCCUGGGUCCUGGUCAACAGUAGUGUACUAUAUAGGGAAUAGGGUGCCUGGGUCCUGGUCAACAGUAGUGUACUAUAUAGGGAAUAGGGUGCCAUUUGGGAUGUAUCCUGGACAACGGCUGUGUUCGUUUUCCUUCUUCACGUUCUGCUGUUUCUCUUCACACGUCUCCUCUCUCACGUCCAAUGAGGUUGUGUUUUAAGAUGUACACACUGUUUCAGUGAGCCUAAUACACAUUUAUAUUGCUUUGGAAAACACAUCUCGUCAUGGUAUACAGUAAGCUUCAAUAGGUAACAUGUUUGGCAUUUCAGAUCAGUACUGUAGGGGGUAUGACUGGAGAAGAUGGCUCGAGGUAUCUCAACAGUAGGGGGUAUGACUGGAGAAGAUGGCUCGAGGUAUCUCAACAGUAGGGGGUAUGACUGUGGAGAAGAUGGCUCCAGGUAUCUCAACAGUAGGAAGUAGGACUGGAGAAGAUGGCUCCAGGUACCUCUACAGUAGGAAGUAGGACUGGAGAAGAUGGCUCCAGAUACCUCUACAGUAGGGGGUAGGACUGUGAAGAAGAUGGCUCCAGGUACUUCUACAGUAUGGAGUAGGACUGUGGAGAAGAUGGCUCCAAGUACCUCUACAGUAGGUAUGCUUUAGUAUACUUCCCUGUGGAAGUCAUCCUAUAAAUAUAGUUCUGGUAUAAUGACAUCCUGUGACCUCUGACCCCAUGGUGCUUCCCUCUUCUUUCUGAUUGGAUGUUGAUGUUUGUGUGUCUGAUGAGCUAAUAACAGAAGCCUGCAUAGUCGGUCCCAUAGAGCAGGCAGGAGGACCGGGAGACGGACAGACUGACAGCUGCUUGGAGUCCAAAAAUAAAAAGUAGUAUCUUGUGUCCCAAACGGCACCCUAUUCCCUAUGUAGUGCACUACUUUAGACUAGAGCCCUAUGGGACCCUGGUCUAAAGUAGUGCCCUACAUAGGGAAUAGUGUGUCGUUUUGGUUCUUGUUCUAAAGCCUAAGUGAUUCAUCUGUAGUAGUACAUGCAGUCCAAUGUGGUUGUUCCUCGUCUCUCUCUACAGUAAACGGUCUUAAAUCUUCAUGCCCAGCUUGGCUUUCUGUGGAAAAACAAUACGUUAAAUGUUCAGAUAUGCUUUAAACAGUGAUAAAGACUCAAUCAAGUAAAAGUCCAUGUGUAUAUAGUGGCC